rnacentral:rRNA from 1 species
UACGAAGGGGGCUAGCGUUGCUCGGAAUCACUGGGCGUAAAGCGCACGUAGGCGGCUUGUCGCGUCGACUGUGAAAACCCGCGGCUCAACUGCGGGCCUGCAGCCGAUACGGGCAGGCUAGAGUUCGGUAGGGGAGACUGGAAUUCCUGGUGUAGCGGUGAAAUGCGUAGAGAUCGGAAAGAACACCGGUGGCGAAGGCGGCCCCGCUGGGCAGGAAGGGGUGGGUAACCACCCCGGCUGACACUGAGGCGCGACAGCGUGGGGAGCAAACAGG